rnacentral:lncRNA from 1 species
UCUAGCAAUUUCUUUAAGUUCUCCAGAUGAUUUGAUUGUGGCCCAUGACAUGUCUAAGGAGCUACUGGAUGUCACUGGAUUUAUUGGACCGGAGAGUAACAAGCCAUUAGAAAUAUCUGAAUCGUGCCCCAUCAUAAACCAGUCAACAAGCACUGCUAUAAGUUCAUGCAUACUGAAACUGAUUGAAGCCGUUAUCAAUGAUAUGGAUUGGACCAUCAAAAAAUUAAAGACAUUCUUUUUGAUUGAACAGAGAUACAUUCAUGUUAGUCAGAGUGGAGAACAUGCUCCAGGAUUGACCGUUGAGGAUAAUCUUUACUUGAGGGCUGAAGCAGUGGUGAAAGUAUUAUCUUUCUUUGUUUUGAUGAACCUAAAGGGUAAGUAAGCAAUUUGUACUAAAACUAAUCUAUCACAUUUAUUUCUCUAUUUAUGUAAUUCAUCCUUAAAUACAUACGUAAACAGACCCUCAAGCAGAGCAUCUAUUAAGAUUGAUUGCGAAGUUUUACAAGCAUUUGGCUCAGAUUUCAAGGCUUAGGAUUGCUACUAAGGGAUGCAAGCAACUUCUACCUACUCCAACUUUCCAGAGGCUUGUAGAAGUAACCUGCAAGAAGCUUACAGUUCCUCUUUAUAAAUUCGUUGCGGAGAUUCAAAGGGUAUUGUCCUUAAUUUUAUGACGAAUUUCUUCUGUCUAUCAUCUCUUUGAACAGAAAUGACACUGCAUUAUAUGUUUAUCUUUCAAAAUCAUUUUCAUGGAUUCUAUUAGACGGGACUUGCAGGUACAACAAGAAAAGCCUAAUACUAAGGGUAUCAUUAACAAGAUUAAAAGGGAGAAUAAAUGCAUACCUGAGCUGAUCUUCCAAAUAGAAGAUUAUGAGAAGUAUCUCAUCCGGCUCAGCAAGGCAAGUAAAGUCAAUUUACUGAAGCAUGCCAAGCGUAGCACUUCCAGGGAUUUCAGAAUAUU